rnacentral:lncRNA from 10 species
CCAAAGCCUACACUCAUUCUUCAUUUGUUCCUACCACUGGCAUCUACACUGAACAUGUUGGGGCCUAGCACCCAUUUAGGCCCUGGGCAUACGGACUUCAGUAAGACACAAUAUGGCGCUUUUGGACAAUGGAAAGAAGCAAGGUAAGGAAGCUGAAUCUCAGAGAAGUGAGUUGCCUAAAAUCACAUAGCCAGUAAACAGUGGUGCAAGGAUUCAGUUCCAGGCUCUGAUGAGUAUCCCAGGCAGGGGCUGGCAAGAGGAUGGCUUCUUUAUGGACCUCAGGGCAGUGGGCUUGUCCUGUUGGAUCCUGGCACUUUGCCUUCCAGGGGUAUCGCUUACAGAAAUCCACAGAUUCCAGACCUAAAAUAGAAUCUGGUCUUAAUCGCAUAGUAACCCAGACACACACAAGUUGCAGGCAGAAGAGCAGCCUUUCUUCAUACUACUCUGCAGGCUCCUGGAUUCUCACAGUUGGAUCAACUGCUCUAGACAAAGGUGCCAAAGCCGGGGUUCUCUCCUGAGGACAGCUGAUCACUGGCAUGGAGAAAGCAGAUUUCUGAGACCACAAAGGAGAGAAAUGUUAGAGACAGUUGGAGCCUCCAGGGCAGGGACAAUCACUCCUCAGGCUAGCAUCAUCUGGGGGCCGCAUACACAUCUGGUAAAUUGAUGUUGACCUAAGUAGUGAAGAGCUGGCAGAAUGAAGAGAAAUAAGAUUUGAUUCAGCAGAAAUGGGCCAUUCAUCCACUUCAGUUCAAACUUUCUUAGUUCCCAACAUCCCUAUGGUCUUGUCAGGACAAACCAUGACCAUCAUCAGUCUCUGCCACCUUCCAGUCAUCUGACAAUCUGCACCUCUCACUCAAUGGAACAUUAUGCAAAUUUCACAUUCAACAAUGGUCUGUUGGUGCUGUAAUUGACAUCCAGAUUAGCCCUAAGAAAGGAUUUCCUGACAUUAGCAGAAAAAUGUUCAACAUUACCUAGAGUGGUUGGUUAAUGUCAUAUUCCAACUAAUGAAAAUGUGAGCAAUUCACCACCCCCACUACUUUUCAAGUGUUAGCGAUUUGACUCACAAAAUCAAUCGGGAAAGAAAAUGUCAUUAAAGAAAAAGUGCCUUCAUACCCCCAAAUAAAUGUUUUCUGAAUGCUUUUCU